GACGAACGCUGGCGGCGUGCCUAAUACAUGCCAGUAGAACGCUGAAGAGAGGAGCUUGCUCUUCUUGGAUGAGUUGCGAACGGGUGAGUAACGCGUAGGUAACCUGCCUGGUAGCGGGGGAUAACUAUUGGAAACGAUAGCUAAUACCGCAUAAAAUGGAUUAUCGCAUGAUAAUCCAUUGAAAGGUGCAAAUGCAUCACUACCAGAUGGACCUGCGUUGUAUUAGCUAGUUGGUGGGGUAACGGCUCAUCAAGGCGACGAUACAUAGCCGACCUGAGAGGGUGAUCGGCCACACUGGGACUGAGACACGGCCCAGACUCCUACGGGAGGCAGCAGUAGGGAAUCUUCGGCAAUGGACGGAAGUCUGACCGAGCAACGCCGCGUGAGUGAAGAAGGUUUUCGGAUCGUAAAGCUCUGUUGUAAGAGAAGAACGAGUGUGAGAGUGGAAAGUUCACACUGUGACGGUAUCUUACCAGAAAGGGACGGCUAACUACGUG
rnacentral:rRNA from 1 species